rnacentral:rRNA from 1 species
GACGAACGCUGGCGGCGUGCUUAACACAUGCAAGUCGAACGGAAAGGCCCUGCUUUUGUGGGGUGCUCGAGUGGCGAACGGGUGAGUAACACGUGAGUAACCUGCCCUUGACUUUGGGAUAACUUCAGGAAACUGGGGCUAAUACCGGAUAGGAGCUCCUGCUGCAUGGUGGGGGUUGGAAAGUUUCGGCGGUUGGGGAUGGACUCGCGGCUUAUCAGCUUGUUGGUGGGGUAGUGGCUUACCAAGGCUUUGACGGGUAGCCGGCCUGAGAGGGUGACCGGCCACAUUGGGACUGAGAUACGGCCCAGACUCCCACGGGAGGCAGCAGUGGGGAAUAUUGCACAAUGGGCGGAAGCCUGAUGCAGCAACGCCGCGUGCGGGAUGACGGCCUUCGGGUUGUAAACCGCUUUCGCCUGUGACGAAGCGUGAGUGACGGUAAUGGGUAAAGAAGCACCGGCUAACUACGUGCCAGCAGCCGCGGUGAUACGUAGGGUGCGAGCGUUGUCCGGAUUUAUUGGGCGUAAAGGGCUCGUAGGUGGUUGAUCGCGUCGGAAGUGUAAUCUUGGGGCUUAACCCUGAGCGUGCUUUCGAUACGGGUUGACUUGAGGAAGGUAGGGGAGAAUGGAAUUCCUGGUGGAGCGGUGGAAUGCGCAGAUAUCAGGAGGAACACCAGUGGCGAAGGCGGUUCUCUGGGCCUUUCCUGACGCUGAGGAGCGAAAGCGUGGGGAGCGAACAGGCUUAGAUACCCUGGUAGUCCACGCUGUAAACGGUGGGUACUAGGUGUGGGGUCCAUUCCACGGGUUCCGUGCCGUAGCUAACGCUUUAAGUACCCCGCCUGGGGAGUACGGCCGCAAGGCUAAAACUCAAAGGAAUUGACGGGGCCCCGCACAAGCGGCGGAGCAUGCGGAUUAAUUCGAUGCAACGCGUAGAACCUUACCUGGGUUUGACAUGGAUCGGGAGUGCUCAGAGAUGGGUGUGCCUCUUUUGGGGUCGGUUCACAGGUGGUGCAUGGCUGUCGUCAGCUCGUGUCGUGAGAUGUUGGGUUAAGUCCCGCAACGAGCGCAACCCUUGUUCACUGUUGCCAGCACGUUAUGGUGGGGACUCAGUGGAGACCGCCGGGGUCAACUCGGAGGAAGGUGGGGAUGACGUCAAGUCAUCACGCCCCUUAUGUCCAGGGCUUCACGCAUGCUACAAUGGCUGGUACAGAGAGUGGCGAGCCUGUGAGGGUGAGCGAAUCUCGGAAAGCCGGUCUCAGUUCGGAUUGGGGUCUGCAACUCGACCUCAUGAAGUCGGAGUCGCUAGUAAUCGCAGAUCAGCAACGCUGCGGUGAAUACGUUCCCGGG